AUGAACACAUAUGAUAUUAGUAAAAAAUUUACUUUACCUCUUAUGGUUAAGUGUUGACCAACAUCAUCAUUGCAUUAUGUUGUAUUGGCCUCACUCACUGCCCAUGCUCAUUUACAUCAGAAUACUAACAAUGAGUUUGCAAUCUCUACAUCAGUCUACAUUCUUAUCUGAUAUAGUUUAUAACAUGAUAUACUUAACUACAAGAGGCAAAGUAAAUUUUUUAUCAGAGAGAACUGACUGAGAACUUUAUGAUGUCUAAAUUUUUGAUGCCAUCAUGCACCACACAUCUUAUCUCUAUGGAUAGUGUGGUUUGCGUGUUACUAGAUCUGAUGACUUUUAAUACUUUUUGGUAAUGAAAUAUUAUAUGGUUUAAAAUUGCU
rnacentral:lncRNA from 1 species